GCUGGUGGCUUUGUGCAACAAACUUUAUUUACGGUUUCAAGACAAUCCUGCCAAGCCGAAGUAAACUAUCGCUGAGCAGCGGGUAAUCUAGAAAGCGCCCAGGUAGGGCUGGGAAAGUCACCUGCCUGAAAUUCUGAAGAGCAGCUACCAGUCAGUCUAGAGCCUACUGAGUUAGAGGCAAUAGUGGCUCGUCCUAAUAAGCCCGCACAGCUCGACUUGGAGAACAGCCAGCCUGCAGGCAGUGCUGCUCUCAUUAACACCAAAGUGGAGUGGGAUGAGAGAGAGAGGCAAAAACAGAGCUUCCAAGACCAAAGGCAUGCAGUUCCAUGGUACAGAAGCUAUUUAUUGAACUAUAUACAACAUAGACAAGCUGCUGUUUCUGGACCAUUUUCAAAGACAGCCUCACAUACGACACAUUGCAGUAAUCUAAGCAAGAGGUUACCAAAGCAUGAAUAACUGUGGCUAACCUAUCUCUGUCCAGAAGCUGGGAUGGAAUCUGGAUCGGGUGCGCUCAUCCUACCCAGCGGAUGCAUCACAGACAAUCACGCUCCCUGCCUCCUGCCUUGAUGUUUACUCACACGCAACAGGAAACCAGCAGCGAACACAGCUCCCAAAACUGGACAAGACACCCAUCCUUCCCAGUUAGCAGUCACGUGAACAAGCCUAUGGAAUAUAUAUGGGAAUGAAUUGUGCAAAAAUUGGCUGCUGUUUGAGAAUAUGAUUUUGCUGUGAUUUUAGCUGCUUUCUUUGUUGACUGACUAUUGUUUUCAUUGAGCAUUUUGAUUUGUUUUUUUUGUAACUUGGACUUUUAUUUUGCAGUAAUUUGCAAUCAUUUAUUUGCUAGGGCUGUAAGCAGAGAAAACAGUGAAUAUAAUAAUACUAUAAUAACAACAGCAACAAAUCAAAGCUUGGAUUUCCCCCUCGAUUCAUUUUUAAAAAUUCAUUACAGCACAGGUGCUGAACCAGCUUUCUGAUCAAAAAUCUCUUCCCCCACUCCCCUUCCCUCCCUCACCCCCUUCAAAAGUAACACAAUGAUCAAAAAGUCUCUGCUGGUUAAUUACCUCUCUGUUUGAUCAGCCAUAGACACCAUCAGCAGAAAUCCAUGCUGACACCUCCCUGUUAAAACACCCAGUUGAUCCCAUGGGGAAGUUGACAUUCCUCAAAGCUCAUUAGUGGUUUAACAGCAAAAAUAUGAUAAUCCCAAGGCCCAGAUUUAAAAACACACACUCACACAUGUGAUGCUACAUAUCUUUUUUGAGGUUAUUUUUUCCCCUCCCGGCCUGUUGGUUCACCUGAGGGGUGACAUAGCAACAGCUUGAAUUACAUUUCAGUCGGCCAUGUACAG